UACGUAGGGGCGAGCGUUGUCCGGAUUUAUUGGGCGUAAAGAGCUCGUAGGCGGUCUGUUGCGUCCGCUGUGAAAACUCGGGGCUUAACCCCGAGCCUGCAGUGGAUACGGGCAGACUAGAGGUAGGUAGGGGAGAAUGGAAUUCCGGUGUAGCGGUGAAAUGCGCGAUAUCGGGAGGAACACCGGUGGCGAAGGCGGCAGCACUGGACCCGGUAC
rnacentral:rRNA from 1 species